GAGGGGCUCAUGUUGACUUUUCUGUGAGAAUUGACCAAAUACUCUGUGUAGAUACCUGGCUGAGAGCUGGAACUGAGCCACUGCAGAGUGUAAAGCUGUUGGGACUUACUGGAGCUUCAGUAAUUCAGGGUUCCUGUCACCUGGACCUUGUCUCGUGGCCAGAAUUCACUUAUUAAUCCUGAUUGCCUCCAAACAGGUUGUCUUGGGAAGUGGUAGAUGAGACACAGGUGAGCUUUUGAGACUUCCUUCCUGGAACACAAGGGGGAAUGUGGGUUGAGUAAGUUUUAAAAAUGUUUCCUUAUUAGUUGAACUGAGGGAAUUUAUUAUGGAGAGAAAACAUGGGGUACUUGAGGAAGGGGCUUUGCUUGUUCUCUAAUUAAGAUAUAAUUUCCCAGAACGGGUGCUGUCUGAGUAAUGCCAGAUGUAGUGGAAUCCUCCCCUCUUGAAUUUUUAGGUACAGCCAAGCUUUGAGUGAGGAAUUAAAAACUAUUCCUUAUUUGUGCCCCAAAUAGGCUUUUGUUUGGAAUGACUUUAGUUGCAUUAGAAAGUGGAGCUGAGCUCUUUCCUGGUGCAUUGACUUGGAAUGUCAAUCACGUCCUUGUUGCAGAGUGGGAGGGUUACCAGCCUGGGUGAAAGCAGAACUCAGGAUCUCACAAUUUUAGCAGCAUCAGCUGAAACAAGACGGAAAACAGCACUUAAGAGGAUUUUGUGUGUGGAAGGAAAAAGGGUUGAGACUGCACUGAAGACAGAAGCUUAGUGGUUGCCUAAAGCCACCACAAAUAAAAUACUCCUUAUUCUUUCA